GACGAACGCUGGCGGCGUGCUUAACACAUGCAAGUCGAGCGGGUAAGGCCCGUUUCGGGGGUACACGAGCGGCGAACGGGUGAGUAACACGUGGGUGACCUGCCCUUAGCUCUGGGAUAAGCCUGGGAAACUGGGUCUAAUACCGGAUAUGACUCCAUGACGCAUGUUGUGGGGUGGAAAGCCUUGUGCGGCUAGGGAUGGGCCCGCGGCCUAUCAGCUUGUUGGUGGGGUGAUGGCCUACCAAGGCGACGACGGGUAGCCGGCCUGAGAGGGCGACCGGCCACACUGGGACUGAGACACGGCCCAGACUCCUACGGGAGGCAGCAGUGGGGAAUCUUGCGCAAUGGGCGAAAGCCUGACGCAGCGACGCCGCGUGAGGGAUGACGGCCUGG
rnacentral:rRNA from 1 species